rnacentral:rRNA from 1 species
AGAGUUUGAUCAUGGCUCAGGACGAACGCUGGCGGCGUGCCUAAUACAUGCAAGUAGAACGCUGAAGACUGGUGCUUGCACUAGUCAGAUGAGUUGCGAACGGGUGAGUAACGCGUAGGUAACCUACCUCAUAGCGGGGGAUAACUAUUGGAAACGAUAGCUAAUACCGCAUGACAAUUAAGUACUCAUGUACUAAAUUUAAAAGGAGCAAUUGCUUCACUAUGAGAUGGACCUGCGUUGUAUUAGCUAGUUGGUGAGGUAACGGCUCACCAAGGCCACGAUACAUAGCCGACCUGAGAGGGUGAUCGGCCACACUGGGACUGAGACACGGCCCAGACUCCUACGGGAGGCAGCAGUAGGGAAUCUUCGGCAAUGGGGGCAACCCUGACCGAGCAACGCCGCGUGAGUGAAGAAGGUUUUCGGAUCGUAAAGCUCUGUUGUUAGAGAAGAACGGUAAUGGGAGUGGAAAAUCCAUUACGUGACGGUAACUAACCAGAAAGGGACGGCUAACUACGUGCCAGCAGCCGCGGUAAUACGUAGGUCUCGAGCGUUGUCCGGAUUUAUUGGGCGUAAAGCGAGCGCAGGCGGUUAUUUAAGUCUGAAGUUAAAGGCCGUGGCUCAACCAUGGUUCGCUUUGGAAACUGGAUAACUUGAGUGCAGAAGGGGAGAGUGGAAUUCCAUGUGUAGCGGUGAAAUGCGUAGAUAUAUGGAGGAACACCGGUGGCGAAAGCGGCUCUCUGGUCUGUAACUGACGCUGAGGCUCGAAAGCGUGGGGAGCAAACAGGAUUAGAUACCCUGGUAGUCCACGCCGUAAACGAUGAGUGCUAGGUGUUAGGCCCUUUCCGGGGCUUAGUGCCGCAGCUCACGCAUUAAGCACUCCGCCUGGGGA